GAGAAAGAGCUCUUUAAAUCCACCUGUUAACCAGCAUAUAUUCUUGCGCCUUCGCUAUGGUAAGGUGAACUGUCUGUCAAGACUGUGUAUCCGUGAACAGUUCGGCGCUGCAUUUCCGAAGUCCAUACCUCGACAAACAGCUCACAAUCUUAAAUGGACUAUCACUGUUGGAAAGACCAUACCGGGCAAUUGUUAUGCAUGUUCUGGAUGAUCGUUCACAUGCCUUGAUUUCACUGGGACUUUGCAACACUGGUGCAGCUCGAGCAAUAACUACACACCACACUGGACUUUUUAUUCAUUCGUGACUAUGGCAAACCCAUCGCAGUGAACUGGAGCAGAGGUUUGCAACACAUUGUUGCAAAUAUUUGGAUGUAGAUUAUGCUCUCCCUCUUGCGUGCCCCGUAACUACUUACCUUCGUUCAUUCAUACAGUCCAGUUUGGCGCCGAGCACCGAGUUCUCUUCUGAAAAUAUUAAUAAUUGCAGUUUUCUCUCAAUUAUGUUCACUUUCGCUGCCUUUUGCUAUAUGCUUUCCCUUGUCCUCUGUGCUUCUCUGAUCUUCUUCGCGAUCUGGCAUAUAACAGCCUUUGAUGAGCUUCAGGCAGACUUCAAGGUGCCGAUCGAUCAGGGCAAUCCACUUCACGCGCGUGAAAGGCUUCGGAACAUUGAGAGGAUCUGCUGCCUUCUACGAAAGUUGGUGCUUCCAGAGUACUCCAUCCAUGGACUCUUCUGUAUCAUGUUCCUGUGCGCUCAGGAGUGGCUUACAGUGGGCCUAAAUAUCCCUCUGCUCUUCUACAACACAUGGAGCAGGUACUUCCACAGCCCCACUGACACUAAGGAGCUUCUCUACGAUCCAGCAUCCGUCAUGAACGGAGACACGCUGAAAUUCUGCCAAAAAGAAGCCUGGUGCAAGAUGUCCUUCUUCGUCCUCUCAUUCUUCUACUAUCUCUACUGCCAAAUAUGCUUUUUAGUGUGUGCCUUUGCUAUAGUAUAAGCUACCUAAAGCCUAUAGCAUAGCAGAGAUGUAUACUUAAACAAGCAUUUGAACUGACAUGGACUCUGCGCACUUGGAUGGCGCCAGGAACAUGCCUUUGGCAUCUAUUGGGACUCACCCCCUCUUUAAGGAGUGAUGUAUGAUCUACUCCUUGGUGACCUCAUAACAGAGUUGUCAGCCUCGAAGAAGUCCUCCAAUCAUAAGACACUGUUUUCAAAAGCGCUAAACUAAGUUUGGAUGAAACAAGAGUACCAAUUCAAUUUAUAUUUGUCAGCUGGAGAAACUCUGCAGUGUCUGGACUGAACAGACUUAACCCUAACUUCCAAGAAUACAAGAACCCUGUGUUGUUUACAAUUCGGACUCAAUUUCCUAGAUGUCUCACGGACCGGUGUGACGCGGUUUCACAAGCUCACAGUAAAGUUUGCACUGAUUGUCUCAGGCAUAGUACAGAACAUCAUUUACCACUUUGAGGCACGAAACCUGCCAAACUUUACUCUCACUAAAUGUAGCUCAAAAUUCAUGUUGGGUUUGAAAAAACGAAAGGAAAUGAUGACUAACUUGAAAAGCGAAUGUUGCAUUUUUAUCAGCCACACACUUGGUUCAAUAACAUGUGAAAAGCUUUUGUGAUAUGUAUUUUAUGUGUAUUUGUGCACUCCUAACAUACGCAUUUUUAAUAUGAAGUAUGUAUCUGUUGCAUUACUUGUGUACAUAGAGAAAUUUGUGCAAUGUGUUGGUGUCACUUGGUUGAAAUGUUUUUGGACUUUAUAUUUACAAAUGCUGAUAUUGAGGCUUUAUUAUAGAAACAAGCCACUUUUCCACAGUUUUGCACAAAAGUUGUUAUGAGUCUGCACAAUAGAUACAGUUAUUGGUUGUGGCGGGGGGGCGGAAUCAUAUUUAUAUCCCCAGUAUGAGUCUUCCAAUAUAUUAGUGUAUCAAACUGUCAUAGAUUUUUCAAUAUAGGGGGGAAAAAAAGCAGCCCUGGAUAAAAAAAAAAAAUCAGUUUCACAUUUUGUUCAAUCGUUAUUAUGUUAACUGUUUAGAAACAAAGGUCAGCAAUACUGGAAGAAAAAAAAAGAUAUUUAAGAAUAUCAUAGUUCAACUUAGACUGAAUUGCUUUUCUUACUUUUUGCUUCCACCACACUGUAAUUAAGAAUUCAUCAGAAUCAGAGUAACCAUAUGAAGCAUAUACAAGCAUUAACCCCACAGACACCUAUGUGAUGCUUCUGUUGAGCUCUGUUUAUAAUGCAGAGUACUUAAAACAUCAGUAGACGUACGUCAUAAUUUUCAUUGCUGGUGUAGGGGAUAAUAAUAGCAGUCUUCAGCAGAAAUGUCUCUGAUGCUGUCAUGUAGCCUGCUGUUUUCUGUAUGCCUUAUGUAGUUACAUAUAUGAUGACCAAACAUUUUAUAUCCUUAUUGUGUACAUGUUCACCCAUCCAAAUAUUAGUUAAGAAAUUUGUAUAUGA